rnacentral:rRNA from 1 species
AUGCACGCUGGCGGCGUGCCUAAUACAUGCACGUCGAGCGAACAGACGAGGAGCUUGCUCCUCUGACGUUAGCGGCGGACGGGUGAGUAACACGUGGAUAACCUACCUAUAAGACUGGGAUAACUUCGGGAAACCGGAGCUAAUACCGGAUAAUAUAUUGAACCGCAUGGUUCAAUAGUGAAAGACGGUUUUGCUGUCACUUAUAGAUGGAUCCGCGCCGCAUUAGCUAGUUGGUAAGGUAACGGCUUACCAAGGCGACGAUGCGUAGCCGACCUGAGAGGGUGAUCGGCCACACUGGAACUGAGACACGGUCCAGACUCCUACGGGAGGCAGCAGUAGGGAAUCUUCCGCAAUGGGCGAAAGCCUGACGGAGCAACGCCGCGUGAGUGAUGAAGGUCUUCGGAUCGUAAAACUCUGUUAUUAGGGAAGAACAAAUGUGUAAGUAACUAUGCACGUCUUGACGGUACCUAAUCAGAAAGCCACGGCUAACUACGUG